AUUGAACGCUGGCGGCGUGCCUUACACAUGCAAGUCGAACGGUAACAGGUCUUCGGAUGCUGACGAGUGGCGAACGGGUGAGUAAUACAUCGGAACGUGCCUAGUAGUGGGGGAUAACUACUCGAAAGAGUGGCUAAUACCGCAUGAGAUCUACGGAUGAAAGCAGGGGAACGCAAGACCUUGUUGUCUUAGAGCGGCCGAUGGCAGAUUAGGGAGAUGGUGGGAUAAAAGCUUACCAAGCCGACGAUCUGUAGCUGGUCUGAGAGGACGUUCAGCCACACUGGGACUGAGACACGGCCCAGACUCCUACGGGAGGCAGCAGUGGGGAAUUUUGGACAAUGGGCGAAAGCCUGAUCCAGCAAUGCCGCGUGCAGGAUGAGGGCCUUCGGGUUGUAAACUGCUUUUGUACGGAACGAAAAGCCCUGGGUUAAUACCCUGGGGUCAUGACGGUACCGUAAGAAUAAGCACCGGCUAACUACGUGCCAGCCGCCGCAGUAA
rnacentral:rRNA from 1 species